CAUAAUAAUUCCUUUUACCAAUUUUCUAUUCUCCGAAAAAUCGGAGACGUUGAUCAAAAAAUCUAACAACUCACAUUCGACCCUUCACUUUUAACAUUUGAGACGCCUCAAACCCUAAUCAUUCUAACCUUCACCGGUUGUCCUCAUUUCCCUAUUUUCUCUCUUUUCUCUCAAGCCCUCAACCCCCAUCAAUCCAAAAACCUUGAACAAAUGUACAAGGCCGAUCGAAUCAACCUCAAAUCAUCCAUUUUGUCAUUGCUAGCUGGGAACCAUGCCGGUUUCUUUUCAUUUUCGUUGAUUUAAUUCAAAUUCCCCCAAAUAAAACCUUAGACCUAAAUCGUGCAACUGAAACUCAUAUGUUCUCCUCUCAUCCUUCAAAUCGGAGCAUGCAUGACUGAUUCUCAUCAUUAUUAUUUGUGUCUAGAGGUCAAACGUAAUAACCUCUGGACAUUAGACCUUUGGCUAAUGGAUCUUCACUCUCAACGACCGAUUCUUCAUCUCCUCGUACCCAGGUAAAACUCUUUAGUGUUUUCCCUUUUGUUUUUUUUUCCUGAUUUUACCAUAAUGCUAUCAUCAUCCUCAUUAUCAUCACCAUCUACUAACCAACUUGAUUUUUUCGGAGCCCUAAGGAUUGAAGGCCACUAUAAAUACAUCAUUAAAUGCUUUCACUUAAUUGACAUCAACAUGCAUCAAUACACCUAAUACUACUGCUUCAUACACUGAGAGAAUUAAAGUUCAAGUCCUUUUCAAAAAAAAAUUAAGUUCCAUUGGUUCCCUUCUAACUUCUCUUUAUUCCUUUCAUUUUCUGUUCUAGUUCAAUCUAUUGUGAGUUGAUCGUAGUAAGUUUGGACAUCCUAGACAACUGUUAGCAUCUACUUGAUUUGCUGCUCUGCAAAAGGUCAGUAUAGGCUGACCUCUUCUCUUUAGUUUUUUUCCAAAAUUAGUUAUGUGACUCUAUGUUUAUGCCGUUUAUACCGAUACUAAUAUGCUAAGCAUGUUAGUAUGAGAUUUUUAUUAUGUAUUGAUCUUCAUGUUGUUCUUUUUAUUUUGAGGCUGAUCAUGCUUCUUAAUAGUUAUGUUGCUUUGUAUUGUUAUUAAUCUGUAUUGAUCAUUUGAAUCUUAACUCUCAAAGGUUAGCUAGUCAAAAUGAUUAUACUUGUUUUUCCCAUUAACAGGUCCUGCUAAGUCCUUGCAAUUAGUCAAAAUUGAAACCUUAUGGUGAUUUUAUGUGUGAUUCACCCAUGUUAGUUGAGAAAUAGUUAUAUGAAUAAUAUCAUCUCUGAUAAGACAAUAGAAUUAUGUUUCUGAAUCCUUUCUAAUGUACUGUUAUGAUGUCAUAUCUCCAAUAGUAUGAUCAUCAUGUCUAUGAAGUUAUAUUAUUUUGUCUUAGUUCAAUGAGUAAUUCUUACUACAACUUUAUGUCUAAUUUGUUGGGUUUGUUGACUCUAUUUGAUAGUCAUGUUUUGUGUUCUUAGUGACUUAUAUAAGUUUAUCAUUGUGGCUUGAAAUCAUGUGGUAAACCUUAACCGGCUCACUUGCUGUAUUUUUAUUUACCAUGUCCCUCUGCUCUCUGAUGAUUCUGAACUCUGUAGGAGUGGCUAUUUAAAAUCUUUACUGUUAUGAUGGUUGGAUGACUCUUGUUGACUGCUAUGCUUGCGCUCACACUCAUCAUGCUACUCCUGCUAGUCCAAUGGUGUUUGAACAUUUCCUAUGUUCAUAGCUUGGGAAAAUUGUAUGCUUGGAUCACACUGUUCUUGCCAAGAUCUAUACCUGUAGCCAUAUGUAAUCCUGAUCAACCAAAAUUAUCAUAUUGCACUCAAAUGAAUGACCCUCAUCAAGGGACAUGUUCCUAUUUCUCAUGCUAAGACUUGAUCAUAUUGCCAUGUUAUCUUAGUAGAAUAAGAUUAAUAACUAGCAUGCGAAGGUCAUGAAUCAGACUCUAUUAGUAUAACUUGUUAAUGAACUCAAUUAACUGUUUAAAUGAAUGAUUAUGUCUUGCUUAUCUUGCUUUGAUCAACUAAGGCUAAACCUCUCUAC
rnacentral:lncRNA from 1 species